GCUUUGAUAGCUCAGUUGGGAGAGCGUCAGACUGAAGAUCUGAAGGUCCCUGGUUCGAUCCCGGGUUCAAAGCA
rnacentral:tRNA from 1 species